rnacentral:lncRNA from 1 species
AUGGGAUUUCCAAAAAGAAGAUAUUUUGAAGAUUCGCCACCAGCAGGAUCCUACAGUUUGCUAAGCAACAGCUUCUCCUGGCAUAAGCCACUACUCAGACAAACGGAGACCAUGCAUUGCGCCCGGCACCUGCGGUGAGGAGUCCACGGCAAGCUUGGCCCAACAGAACUGGGUAAGACCACGUGAAGACUUUCUCACAAUGAAGUAUCAGUGGGAGUGACGUGCUUCAUUUGGGGGCCAGGAUUUUUAGGAAGUAGGUGUGCCUUCCCAUGCUCACUCUCCCCUGAUGCUCUAUGGGGCCCCCAGGGAUGAUGGAAGGAGCCAGGCUCCUAGAUGACCAGGUGGAAAGCUGUCUGGCCAGGUGGGAACACCCCUAUUAGGUUAUUAUACAAAUAAGAAAUAACUAUCAACAAAGCUCGAAAACUUAGCGUUUAUUCAUUAUAGCAGCUAU